UGCUGGAAUUACAAGCAUAAGCCACUGUACCCGGACCCCAAUAUUAUUUUUUAACUUUUUAAAGGUAUACGUGGUUUGCCCUUGACAGAAAAAAAGCCCCCUCAUCCAUUAAUCCAGAGAAGAGCUUGUUUACCAGGCACUGGGGACAGGAACAGGAUGGCCAGAUGAGAGGAGGCCGGGCUUGACUUUAGAAAGAUACAAUCCCACUGGAAAGAGGGGGCAGGAGAGAUGUUUCUGUAAGGACAGGUUCAGGUUAAAGUCCUGAUCCUGCCAUAGACUGGAGAGGAGGGCCUUGAUCUCAUCUGCAACAUGCGAUCACUCUCACUCCGCGCCCGAGGCCACUGUGCAGAGCAGAGGAGAUGGAAUGAGGCGGAGUGGGGGUGCGGGGCUCAGCUGCUGCCACACACAGGGCUGCUUCCCUCAGCUGGGCGCCCCAGCCUGUCUCAACUUGUGGCAAUGUCACGGCUCUGAUGCUUUUGCCCCCAGCAUUUCACAUCCGGCCUCAACUCUAACUGCCCAUCUGCUCCCUCCACCCCGUGCACCCUCUGGGCCUUUGCUUGAGCGGCUCACUCUGCCAGUAACUUCCCUGGCCAAUAUCUACCUACUGAGGCUGUACUCAUCCUUCAAGGCCGGGCCUCAGCAGCUGUAACUCCUCCAAGAAGCCCUCCCUGGUUCCCCCAGUUGGGGAUGCUUUCUGCCUUCCCUGCCUCUUUUGGUGACCAGGACUUGUGGAGAACGUAGGAGGGAAGCAGGUGAGGAGGCAGAAUGAACACCUGGUGAGUAAGUGGUAGGCAUGCGACCAGUGUGCCAGUUUUCCUGGAGGUGCAAUUUGCCCUUCUGUGGUUUUGCCAAGAGCAGGGGAAUUAAUGGCCCACAGUGACUGCCUUCUCAAGGUUGUGCAGUUCAUCAGAAUGUAGCAACCGAAAGGGAACAUGAGGGGCAGGGGCAGAGAAGCCUCCCAUCCCACGUAAGUAAUUACGAACAGAGCACAUGACCCCUGGUGGUUUCUGAAUGCAUCUGGCAACAGCUCCACCACCUGCUGUUUUGGAAAGUCAGAUUCACAGAAGCUACAAUUAUAGACUGUCAGCUGGGUCUUUUCAUGGCUGGGGACCAAAACUUACAGCCCCUAACUCCUAGCUCAGUGCUCUUUUUACUUCACCUCCCUGGCCACCUGCCAGACAAUUUACACAAACAGCAAAUGUGACGGGUGCCAGUGCAGAGAUCUGGGGGGCCUUCUACGCUUGUAUAGCUCUACUAGGGAACCAUCUGUCUCGUGCUUUUUUUCUCCAGGCCCUGUCAAGGGUCUCGUGACCCCACAGCUGGGAGAAGGGAGGGUGGGAGCAAAGAAAACGAAAAGGAGGGUGGCAGAGAGGAAGGAAGGGGGAGGGAAGGGAGAAAGGAAGGAGAAAAAGCUUCUUGGGGGUUGGCUGCUCUUUUUAAAGUGCACUCACACUUCCUCCCAUUUCCUGUGGGCGGCCAGAGGCCUGAACGCAGCUGCUCUGCUGCCUGGGGCCUGACAAAGGGAGUCCGGACCGCACCCUGCUCAUCUACUGCCUCAUCUUUUAGCUCUGCUUAACCCCUCAGCCCCAUUCUGCUGAGUCCUUGAGGCCACCUCCACCAAAAGCUACUGCGCAUGGCUUUAUUUAUCAUGGCUUUUCAAGUGCACAAGCAAAACACAGGGAUGAGUUGAAAAAGUACUUCACAGCUGGGAACAAGCCAGGGCUGUCCCUCAUCAGGAAGAAGUCUUAAAAAGUGAUUUCCUAUUUUCAAUUCCAUGAGGUAAUAUAAGUAAAAAGAACCCCAGCAUGGGCUGGCGACGGCCUCGAGCCGACCUAUCUGCUGGGCAGGCCUGGGCCUCCUGUGAACAGAACUGGGGCAGAACAUCUAACUCCGCCCACCCUUAGUUAUUCUCAAGAGGCCAUGAAAUCCGAAUUCCCAUUUCCCAGAAAACCGCUGCCAGGCCAGCACAAACGCCCCCUGCCCUUGGUAGUUAUGUUCCUCGCUGUUAAUUAAGGAGCCAGCAGGCGGGUGCACACAGCACUCCCCUGCCACUCUGCCCAGUGACCAGAUAGCAUGGAGGACCACUCGACAGAAGGAAUGUUCUCAGCCCAGGCCGGCACCAACGCAGGUGCUCCUGAGGCCCAGCCAACAACUUCACCUAGGGCUCAUGAACUGGGGCAGGAAGCACCUGGCCAGUGACCCCCAUCCAAAGGACUGAGUUCACAUCCAAGCUCCUCCACCCCAAGACCCACCAUCCCAAAUGCCACCUGCACAGAGGGUUGGCUCGAGGUCAGGCCCCAUAAGGUGAGAGGGUAGAGGGCUGAGGGCAGAAAAGUCGUACUGUGUUGCCCACGCCAGCCCCUGUGACUCAGCGACGAAUGGGCAUGGCUCAGUAUGUGUUUGUGGGAUGACUGAGUGCAGGGAGCUUUCUGCUUCUGCUCUGUCAUUGCUUCUCUAUCUGAGCAGCUCCCAGAAGACCCAAGAACUGGUCUAGAUUAGAGGCAGUGGUCAGUGGCCUGUGGCCAGAUCCUGCAACAGAUGAGAUCCAUCUGGGCCUUACUGGGCUUUUAAAAACACAUGAAUUAGUUGCUGAUGUUUAAAAGUCAGGAGACCUCAAUUAUAUAAAAGCAAAGGCAAGUAAACAAGUGACCCAAGAAAGAAAAAAAAAGUAGGGGGUGGGAAGCUUGUUUUCUUCCUUUUUAAAUCAAGAUGUGGCCUCGCCUGGCCUCCAUUCCUGCAUGGUAACAGGUGCCCCUUGACACAGGUUCCACACUCUUCGGUCUGCUGGGGGCCUCCAAGCCUGCUUCACUGGGCCUGUCACCUGCUGGACUAUGCAGCCUGUUUGUGUUCACAUUUCACCGUCUAGGAAGGACUCCUGGACGUCAAUUUUCUGCAACACCUGGAACCAGACGGACAGAGAGAACUUGACUUGUUCAGGUCCUAGGUGACUGUGCAAUGUGAGUUGGUUACGAGGCCCAAAGGUUUACAGAGACAGCAGCUGAGAUCACAGGCCAAACCCCAAAGAAACUCUGGCACAGGAGGACGCUGUGGAACUAAUGACUCUCUUAAAAGCUUCCUGAUCCAUCUCUGCUCACCACCUGGCAGAGACAGCUUAUCUCUCAUUGGUGGGAAUCUGAGCCUAGGGUCAGAGCAGUAAGCAAAGCCUGUUCUUCACACAUGGGGAGGAUAUAGGAACAUGCCUUCAGCACGUCUGCAACCCGGGAAGGAGAGACGUUACCUCCCCUAAGCACACCCUGUACUUGCCAUGUUUCAUAGGGAACAAACCGAAACCACCUCCUGCUAUCCCCCGCCUUUGCUGACACCUGUAAAGCUGCCAACCCGCC